UCCUAUGGCAGGCCGUGGCAGGAAGACCUUGAUGGUCUGCCGGUUCUCAGUGCGCCGGUUCGCUAACCCUGUCACGUGCCUGUUUUCCCC
rnacentral:antisense_RNA from 1 species